AACGAACGCUGGCGGCAUGCCUAACACAUGCAAGUCGAACGAAACCCUCCGGUCGAGUGGCGCACGCGGGCGUGACGCCCGUGAACCUGCCCUUAUGGUCCUGAUAACACCCCGAAAGACGUGCUAUAACCCGGGAAACUCUCCGGAGGAAAGAUUUUUUGCCUCUGGAUGGGCCCGCGUGUGAUUAGCUAGUUGGUAGGGUAAAGGCCUACCAAGGCGACGAUCCGUAGCUGGUCUGAGAGGAUGAUCAGCCACACUGGGACUGAGACACGGCCCAGACUCCUACGGGAGGCAGCAGUGGGGAAUAUUGGACAAUGGGCGCAAGCCUGAUCCAGCCAUGCCGCGUGAGUGAUGAAGGCCUUAGGGUUGUAAAGCUCUUUUAUCCGGGACGAUAAUGACGGUACCGGAAGAAUAAGCCCCGGCUAACUUCGUG
rnacentral:rRNA from 1 species